rnacentral:rRNA from 1 species
GAUUGCAGGCUGCAACCCGCCUGUAUGAAGUUGGAAUCGCUAGUAAUCGCGGAUCAGCAUGCCGCGGUGAAUACGUUCCCGGGCCUUGUACACACCGCCCGUCACACCAUGAGAGUCGGGAACACCCGAAGUCCGUAGUCUAACCGCAAGGGGGACGCGGCCGAAGGUGGGUUCGAUAAUUGGGGUGAAGUCGUAACAAGGUAUC